UUGCUUUGUUCCUAGAUUCUUCAGUGCUGAUGGCCUGCUGUACCCAAGCAGAGUUGGAGCGAACAUCCUGCCACUGAUGAAGAACAGGCAGUGACUGGGAUGAAUGUUGGUCAAAGAAAAGAAUGCCCUGUCCCCUGAUGCAACAGUGGUUUUAAAAGAGGACACUGCCCUGGAUGAUGUAAAAGAUGUCACAUGCUGUGCUGAUGGGACUUCUUCAUGACCACAUCAGUUAUGCUAAAGAGAUAGGUUUAAUGCCUAGCUCGAUUUGGAUUAAUUUUAGUCUAGCAAUGUAGUCAUUUUAAACCAUAAAAAAGCAACCCAGCAUGCUGGAUUAAACAUAGUAACCCAGCGCUGGGUUCGUCCCUUUUUGACCCAGUGCUGAUUUGCCAAAAUAACCAAAAUUUGGUUGUUUAGACAUGUAACAUAAAUAACUAAACUUUUCAGAGACAUUGUGUUUAUGUAUGUAUACAGAGAAUUACAUGCAUCAUUGAAAUGACGCAUAAGGCAAACAAUUGAAUCAAAUUAAGUACCCUGUAUGUCGAUAAAUGAUGCUAAAAGUAUAUCUUGAGUGUUAAACCAUGACGCCAAGGGAUCCUGAAUAAAUGUGGAGUUGGGAGUGAAAACUGCAGGGUCUGGUUUGGUUCUGUAGGAAGCCAUCAUCGGUGUAACAUUUGCUAAAUCC